UCCAAAUUAUUAAUUUAUUUGAUAUUGUUUCUGGAAACCAAAGAUUGUCCCUUGCUUUAUUAAGAUAUUUCAAAAUCAAUGCAAGUUCAGAUGUUUUCUAUUAUCCUUUUUAUAAUUUUUCAUCAAAUAAUGUGUUUUUAUUGUUCUUUGAUGCUAAGAUAUCAUUAUCCUCUAUAAGAGUGACGUUAAGCAAAAUCGGACGCAAAUUAAUAAAUGAUGCAAGAUUUAGAAGGGGGGAAUCUAAAAACAAGAAAAGAAGAAUAAAUAAAUUAAACAACAAAUGCAAGAUUGAUUGUGCACUUACAUAUAAUAUAACUUACCUUUGCUUUUAAUUCUCAUUUCACAACAGCUAAUUAACAUAUUCAGAGUCACCUGUGCUGGAAAGUGCUUCAUUUAUGUUUAUUAAUCCCUUUCAACCUUCCCAAAGUUGGUCCACCCCAACAUAAAUAUACAAAAAUAUAAGUGAGGAUCAGAGACUUCAAUUUUUUAAACAAAUAUAUGACAUGUUUUUAUUAAUUAAUUUUUAUUCAUUGCUACUACCCAUUAUCCACAUCAGUCCAUCACCUACUGUGACCUUUCAGGUCAGCCCUGUCCUGUUCCUAAUUGUCCACAUCUGACCUGGUUUAAUCAUCACACCUGCUGCUCGUUUGGAGGACUGUCCCACAGUUAUUUCUUGAAAUGUAAGAUCCUGAAGUCAGUCUCCCUUAUGUUUAAGGGCAGCACUGUCUUAAACAUCUCACUUUGAUUUUUUUUCAAUUGGAUUUCAGGUUUCUGUUUCGUCAUAAGCCUGCUUGUUUUGUCCACACGCACAAAGUUCUGUCUGUCAGUUCCAGCAGUUUCUGUGUUUGUUUCUGUCUGAGGUUGUGAUCCUGUGGGCAUGCUAUCCUCCAGCGCCUGAGUCACACCUGCUCCUCAUCAGCCACUCUACAUAAACUUCAUAUGGAUCUCCAGCAGACGCCAGACAAUUGUUCACCUCUGAUCCUGCCUGCCAGCCAAUCUGUCUGCCUGCCUGCAAAACUGCCAGCCUGCUCGCCUGCCCGCCAUCCUCACUCUGUUCAAAAUAAAACUUGUUACCUGGUAGGGAUGGGAAUAGAAGCACCCUGAAGCUUUCCUUGGGGUUCAUGUAAUUGUGCCGGAAAAAUGAACCAACCAUUCAGGGCUUUGAAACCACACAGAACAGCGGCAUCUGGUGGCAGACUGGACGUUUAUCAUAUGCUUCAACUAGUGAUGGUUGAGUCGACUCCUCAUAAAGCACUGGCAAACUUUGACACAACUGGGCUAAGUUUGAUACUCACUUCAGUUAGAAGUAGUGAUAUGCUGGUUGUCUGUUAAGAACUAUUUGGCUUUUAUUGGUGAUCAUAAAUGAGUGUGGUCAGCAGGAAAAUGAUUCCAUAUAAAACAUUCUUCAUAACCAUUCUGCACAGACACCUGAGCCUUUAAAUUUUUGGUUUUUGUUGUUGUUGUACAUUUGAAUUUUUAUUUUAUUUUGUGGAUUGAUUGUCUUGUGUUGAGUUGCUUCAAUUUUGUUUAAAAGGAGAUAAAAAUGCAAGUAAUUAAAAGUUGAAUUGUCAACAGCUGGUUUAUUUUUUUACAUUUUAUCCUUGGGCAGAGUCUGGGAAUGUGCACCUGAGCUGCAGGAAUUGUAUCCAUUGUUCAUGGUGUAAUUGGUGUUUAAAGGUGUCUUUGUUUCCUUAACCAUAGGUAUUUUAAUUUUUUUUUUAAAGAUUUGUAUAUUUUCCUAAAUUACUUGUCUUGGUCUCCUAUGUCGGAGAGUCCUACGCUUGUCUGAUUUUAGUUUUCUGGUGGCGGCAAGCAGAGGAAACCAUAAUGCCAUGCAGUCUACUGGAAUCACCACUGAGCGACACUUCCGGUUAAAAAAAUUGAUACCGUGUUGAGAAGGUGUCGAGCUAGACAUCUCUGAGGCAGGUAUUUUCUCGUUUGACAUUUUAAAAAAAUUAGGAGUAGGAAAAGUUACACAAGUAAUCUAUUGCAUCUUCAUUGCAUCUUAUGAGCCCACAGCAUGAACAAUGUAGGUUUAAGACUUACAGGCAAAAAAAAAAAAA